rnacentral:rRNA from 1 species
GUUCUGUAAGCCUGUGAAGGUGUGCUGUGAGGCAUGCUGGAGGUAUCAGAAGUGCGAAUGCUGACAUAAGUAACGAUAAAGCGGGUGAAAAGCCCGCUCGCCGGAAGACCAAGGGUUCCUGUCCAACGUUAAUCGGGGCAGGGUGAGUCGACCCCUAAGGCGAGGCCGAAAGGCGUAGUCGAUGGGAAACAGGUUAAUAUUCCUGUACUUGGUGUUACUGCGAAGGGGGGACGGAGAAGGCUAUGUUGGCCGGGCGACGGUUGUCCCGGUUUAAGCGUGUAGACUGGUUUUCCAGGCAAAUCCGGAAAAUCAAGGCUGAGGCGUGAUGACGAGGCACUACGGUGCUGAAGCAACAAAUGCCCUGCUUCCAGGAAAAGCCUCUAAGCAUCAGGUAACAUCAAAUCGUACCCCAAACCGACACAGGUGGUCAGGUAGAGAAUACCAAGGCGCUUGAGAGAACUCGGGUGAAGGAACUAGGCAAAAUGGUGCCGUAACUUCGGGAGAAGGCACGCUGAUAUGUAGGUGAAGCGACUUGCUCGUGGAGCUGAAAUCAGUCGAAGAUACCAGCUGGCUGCAACUGUUUAUUAAAAACACAGCACUGUGCAAACACGAAAGUGGACGUAUACGGUGUGACGCCUGCCCGGUGCCGGAAGGUUAAUUGAUGGGGUUAGCCGCAAGGCGAAGCUCUUGAUCGAAGCCCCGGUAAACGGCGGCCGUAACAAUAACGGUCCUAAGGUAGCGAAAUUCCUUGUCGGGUAAGUUCCGACCUGCACGAAUGGCGUAAUGAUGGCCAGGCUGUCUCCACCCGAGACUCAGUGAAAUUGAACUCGCUGUGAAGAUGCAGUGUACCCGCGGCAAGACGGAAAGACCCCGUGAACCUUUACUAUAGCUUGACACUGAACAUUGAGCCUUGAUGUGUAGGAUAGGUGGGAGGCUUUGAAGUGUGGACGCCAGUCUGCAUGGAGCCGACCUUGAAAUACCACCCUUUAAUGUUUGAUGUUCUAACGUUGACCCGUAAUCCGGGUUGCGGACAGUGUCUGGUGGGUAGUUUGACUGGGGCGGUCUCCUCCUAAAGAGUAACGGAGGAGCACGAAGGUUGGCUAAUCCUGGUCGGACAUCAGGAGGUUAGUGCAAUGGCAUAAGCCAGCUUGACUGCGAGCGUGACGGCGCGAGCAGGUGCGAAAGCAGGUCAUAGUGAUCCGGUGGUUCUGAAUGGAAGGGCCAUCGCUCAACGGAUAAAAGGUACUCCGGGGAUAACAGGCUGAUACCGCCCAAGAGUUCAUAUCGACGGCGGUGUUUGGCACCUCGAUGUCGGCUCAUCACAUCCUGGGGCUGAAGUAGGUCCCAAGGGUAUGGCUGUUCGCCAUUUAAAGUGGUACGCGAGCUGGGUUUAGAACGUCGUGAGACAGUUCGGUCCCUAUCUGCCGUGGGCGCUGGAGAACUGAGGGGGGCUGCUCCUAGUACGAGAGGACCGGAGUGGACGCAUCACUGGUGUUCGGGUUGUCAUGCCAAUGGCACUGCCCGGUAGCUAAAUGCGGAAGAGAUAAGUGCUGAAAGCAUCUAAGCACGAAACUUGCCCCGAGAUGAGUUCUCCCUGACUCCUUGAGAGUCCUGAAGGAACGUU